UGGGGAAGAUCUUAAAAGCAGCCAGUAAGAAAAGACAGGUAUGACUGCCCACUUCCCAGCAGCAAUGAUGGGAUGCAGUCAACUGAAAUGUGGUCUCCCAGAUUCUCUUCUCUUCCUAGAGCCAUGGCGAUCCUGCUGCAACAUCAGACCAUGUCACUUCCCUGUUUAAAUCCCGCUAAUGGCUCCCCAGCUCACUUGAAAAAAUACUCAGUCCUUUUUUUUUUUUUGACAGAGUCUCGCUCUGUCACCCAGGCUUUUAUUAACAGCAAACCAGUCAUUAGCAUUGUUUCUAUAGAUAUUAAAUUAACUAAAAUUAUCCCUUAUGGGAAACAAAGGGAUGGGCCGAAUUAAAUGAAUAGGUUGGGCUAGUUAACUGCAGCAGGAGCAUGUCCUUAAGGCACAGAUUGCUCAUGCUAUUGUUUGUGGCUUAAGAAUGCCUUUAAGCGGUUUUCUGCCCUGGGCGGGCCAGGUGUUCCUUGCCCUCAUUCCCGUAAACUCACAACCUUCCAGCGUGGGUGUUAGGGCCAUUAUGAACAUGUUACAGUGCUGCAGAGAUUUUGUUUAUGGCCAGUUUUGGGGCCAGUUUAUGGCCAGAUUUUGGGGGGCCUGCUCCCAACAAUGACUGACUAAGGAAGGAAGUGAAUAAUACUAUCUCUGCCAUUACCAAAGCCUUCUGAGAUGCCAGCACUUCAUGGAGUUCGCCGAAUUCCAUUCCGCACUUAGGCACUGGGUCCCUAGCCCUGGGCCAGAUGAUGGGGCUGACUGGGGACAUGAGCACACAGGGAUCCCAUGACAAGCAAUGUAUACUUCUGUCAUGUGCUGAGAGCUACGGAGAAAAUGAUCAGCCCGUGGUGAUGGAGAGUAAUGGGGAGUGAGGAGGUGAUGUUUGAUCUGAAACCUACAGAGAACUGAGAGGAGAA
rnacentral:lncRNA from 1 species